rnacentral:rRNA from 1 species
CCUACGGGUGGCUGCAGUGGGGAAUAUUGGACAAUGGGGGCAACCCUGAUCCAGCCAUGCCGCGUGUGUGAAGAAGGCCCUCGGGUUGUAAAGCACUUUCAGUGAGGAAGAACGCCUGGUGGUUAAUACCCAUCAGGAAAGACAUCACUCACAGAAGAAGCACCGGCUAACUCCGUGCCAGCAGCCGCGGUAAUACGGAGGGUGCGAGCGUUAAUCGGAAUUACUGGGCGUAAAGCGCGCGUAGGUGGCUUGAUAAGCCGGUUGUGAAAGCCCCGGGCUCAACCUGGGAACGGCAUCCGGAACUGUCAAGCUAGAGUGCAGGAGAGGAAGGUAGAAUUCCCUGUGUAGCGGUGAAAUGCGUAGAGAUCGGGAGGAAUACCAGUGGCGAAGGCGGCCUUCUAGACUGACACUGACACUGAGGUGCGAAAGCGUGGGUAGCAAACAGGAUUAGAUACACCUGUAGUC